ACCCGAAAAGGCCACGAGAACAGGCUGUCCUUGUGAGCUCCUCCAACAGAAUUGAGCAGGGGUGGAGGAGUAAUGGAGGCUUCAAUGCUGCUUGCUGAGUAAGCCAGUACGCCCCCACCUUUCCUUUCCUUGUGGUGCUGUUGCUUCGUCCAUCGCCUCCGCGAAGCAAGUUGACUUGGAGACCUGGGUUUGGGAUCUCCGAUUCGCUCUUCUUCUUCUUCUUCUUCAGAUCUGACCUGGCCGCUUUCUCCUGUCACUGUUGAUCUUUCGUCAGAGAUUUUAACUAGGGAAGCUGCCAUCUUUUACUACUAGAGACUACCGGUUCCUUAGAAUUUUCUAACGAGGCAGGUAAAAAUCUGGAAGAUUUGUAUAAGAUUAUCCAGACGUCAGAAGGAAUAACAACCACUUUUUCCGAUAACUCCUGUGGUGCUUGAUGGCUUUGCGUGCAGUUAUCGUCGUGAUGGCCUCAUGGGCCGUCACACUGCUGUGCAGGACAAGAAUUUAGUUAGGUCCCGUUUGCUUCUUUUCAUUUUGAGUAAUUGAAAUCUUAUUAAUAGAAUAGACUAUUUUUUUAAAUGUGACAUUCCACCUUUCCAAAUUUAUUAUAUAAGUCUAUCUCAAAUUCAUGGGGUGAGAGAUAAAAAUUGAUUUUAUAGAUUUAUAUAGUAUUUUUCUGAUGCACAACUUAUAACACACUCUUUUACUUGCUUCGCUAUAACAUAAAUGUAGUAUAUAACUCUCUCUCAUAUAAUUUAGGAUAAUAUACAAAUAUAUUAUAUAUAUAAAUAUAUGAACUUAAUUAGUUUUGUCUAAAUUAUAAUUAUUAAAAUAAAAUUCAAUUCCAACGAAACAGACGGGGCCUUAAUGUUUUUUUCCUUUCUUCUUUGAGCUAGCUAGGUGUUAGUGUUACAACUAAGACACUGUGAGCUUAAGGACUUCUAAUCAUCCUAUGAAACAGUGUGGUACUACUACAUUCUCUCCACUCAUUUAUUUCAUUGUAGCAGUGCCUCCACAUGGGGGGUUGAGUGACCGGCUGAUUGAGAGAAGCUGCUUCAGCUUCACCUCCAAACAAUCAGAAGGAACAGGCAGGUUCAAUGGAAUUGUCCAAUCCCAUUGUCCUCUCUGCUGCACUGCACACUCGCAUAAACAACAACAAAAAAAAAAAAGAGGUUGGAGUCAGUAUUAUAUGCAUGUUGGGACUAGGGCUGCCACCACCUGCUUAAAAUUUCAGGUUUUGGUCCAUCCAACCAGCAUCGCCAGCCCAUGGCAUUCAAAUUCCCAUGCUGCUGCCACCUGACAGUUUCCCGAAUUUUGCUUUGCUCAAUAGCUUGUGCAAGUACUCUACAAAUCACUAGCUGUACACAUCCGAUCAGGCACUAGAAAUCAAGUGGGAGUUUACAUGGGUAACUGAAACAGGUGGGAAGCUAGUGCUUGUUGGCCGGCUGUUGCCAUUGCUGGCAUGGAGCACUGUGUGGCACCACACUCACCGAAUCCCAGAUGAGCCAAGCAAAUAGGGGGCCCCUCUCUUGUUGUAAACAAGCAGCCAGAGAAUAUAUGUGUACAUAUAACUACCAACUUUGCUUUCAUCACCCACUAACUGCUCAGGCAAAUAGCAACAUCAAUUUGCCACAACGCACUUCAUUUCUGGACGCCAACUUGAGAAUUUGCAGACUGAAAACUGAAAAAAAGGCGUAUUUUGUGGACAAUUCAGUGGUUGAGAAAUAAAGAGAACGACUGUAUCUAUCUGUACUACAGACAUGCAGCAUAUAUACAUAUGUAGCAGUAGUGCACUAGAAGCUAUGUACACAAAAAAUCAUGACUUUUGUUCUUGUUUUGCACUCUGCAUUGAUCCUUGGUCCAGCUGAUCAUAAGAUAUGGAUUUGGCACGGUCCAAGAUACAGUCUUGCUCCGAUUCCCUCAUAAAAUAAUGCCUUUCAGUUGGUUCUGGUUCCAAGUUGUUUGUGCAGGCCUAGACCUCAUGAUUUCGAGCUCUGAGAGUGCUAACCUGAGCUUUAGGCAGCAAUCAUUUCGCCCCCAAAAGAGUCGGCAUAUAUUUGUACUCAGUGAAGUUUGUUGCUAAUGCUCAACUUCGGCCCAGUUCGUUUCCUUCCAGAAUUAUAUAAUUCAAAGCACCUAUUAACUUACUUGUAGAUUAUCAUAAUCUAGAUAUCUAAAUUAUAUAAUCCACUAAAUACUCUGUGUUGUUUAUUUACCUCUCAACUUAUUUAAGGUGGAUUAUAUAAUCUAGAAGGUAAAUAAAUAGGGCCUUCGAAAUAUGCUUCCGCUCCCAAAUACAUCUUCUAGAGCUUCGAUCUUUUUUUUAGUUUGAUUAUUUUUUAAAAAAAAAAGGAGCACCAAAAUAUUAUCAUUAUGUACAUUAUAAAAUAUAUUUUAUAGUGCGCUUGCUUGGUGUUAUAAAUAUUGAUGCUCUUUUCUAUACACGAUCAAACGUAAAAAAAAAAUGGGUUUAACUUAAGACAGCUCUAGAAGUUAACAGAGGGCGUAUCCUUGUUUCUGAAAUCUUUUGGAAACCCUGCAAUGAUGCUUCUCAUCUCUUCAGCUUUCCUAAAAUUUUCUGUUUCAACAGCACAGCAGUGAACUUGCAUCUACGACUGCGAUCAUUUUGCUUGCAUAUUUGCAUGUAUCUGUAAUUCCUCAAUACUGUCACAUUCACACCUAUGUAUAGUAUGUAUUUUCUGUCAUAGCAAUUUUUUCCACCGUGUGGAAGGCCUUGCAAGAGAAGCAAAGGCAUCAAGAAAGGAAAGCCCCUCCCCCUCUUAAAAAAAACAAGGUAGUUGGCCAAGGAUAUAAUAUAAUAAAGAUACAGGAACAUGGGCUAACAUGGACCAGGGGCUACUUUCAUCACAUUGCAAGAAAUCUCAUUUGCAGAUGAGCCAUUCAAUCCUUCUAGAUUACACAUAAGGUCCUCCUCCUUUGGUUGCAACUAUUUCAAUAAAGUAUCGAGUACAUAUUAAAAAGCAAUCAUGAUCCAUAAGAAUGCUAAUAAUCUUUUAGAGUAAAAUCUCAUUAGCAAGAGUUUAUAUAUACGAAGGGGCAAGCGUACUUGAGACGAUUCAUCUCUCCCUAUGAUUGCGGGCGCUCAAGAUGUCGUCGUUGUUUUUCUCACUACACUUGUGGUGCUAGUACACCGACAUCACGAUAUUUUAUUCUUGCAGUGUGGAUACAGUGGAGAGAUUGUUGAUGUUGUCACGAUAUUGAUCAACAACAAGCUUGAGGAGCACGAGUGAAUAUAUUGCUAUUGUUGUUGGUAUGUGAGAAAGUUCAACUACUUUCACUAUAUCAAUGUGUCCUUGUUCCAUUGCACUGCACGUUUAAUGGUAACGAGCUAUGGUUCUCUACUAUAUGUUGUCUUGGUUGAACGUGGUAGAUAUGCU
rnacentral:lncRNA from 1 species